GGCAGUUCUCUGGUGACGCAUCCCGGAAUCGGACUCCCUCCUCUCUGGUUCUGGGUGUGUCACUCAAGAACCGCA
rfam:Myotis brandtii contig295043, whole genome shotgun sequence.